UCCCCCUGGCUGGUCAGCCCUGAUUUGCCCCGAUAGGCCCCAAUUGUCAGCCAGACAGAGGGACCCCACCCGUGCACGAAUUUGUGCACUGGGCCUCUAGUGUAUAAUAAUCUUUCAUUGAG